rnacentral:rRNA from 1 species
UACAGAGGGUGCGAGCGUUAAUCGGGACUACUGGGCGUAAAGCGUGCGUAGACGGUUAUUUAAGUCGGGUGUGAAAGCCCCGGGCUCAACCUGGGAAUUGCAUUCGAGACUGAAUAGCUAGGGUACGGUAGAGGGAAGCGGAAUUUCCGGUGUAGCGGUGAAAUGCGUAGAUAUCGGAAGGAACAUCAGUGGCGAAAGCGGCUUCCUGGACCAGUACCGACGUUCAGGCACGAAAGCGUGGGGAGCAAACAGG